rnacentral:rRNA from 1 species
AAUCAACGCUGGCGGCGUGCCUAACACAUGCAAGUCGAACGCGAAAGUCCCGCAAGGGGCAAGUAGAGUGGCAAACGUGUGAGUAACACGUGGGUGACCUGCCUUCGAGUGGGGGAGUAACGUCCCGAAAGGGACGGCUAAUACCGCAUAACAUCCUGCCUUUGAAGAGGCGGACAUCAAAGCUGGGGACCGGCAAGGCCUGGCGCUUGAAGAGGGGCCCGCGCCUGAUUAGCAGUUGGUGGGGUAAUGGCUCACCAAGGCAUCGAUCAGUAUCCGGCCUGAGAGGGCGGACGGACACACUGGGACUGAGACACGGCCCAGACUCCUACGGGAGGCAGCAGUGGGGAAUUGUUCGCAAUGGGCGCAAGCCUGACGACGCAACGCCGCGUGGAGGACGAAGACCUU